CUUGUGUGGUUGGAUGCCCCAAUAUGAACACAUUCUCUGGAGGAGUUUUAAGCACACCAAAUUAGACAAAGAGAGCAUAUUAUGUAUGACUGAAAAAUUGGGGAGGGUGACCUUAACACUACUAUACAACAUCUUCACAGGAAAAUGGUUGGUCAGAAAUUUCCAGGCAGCUCUUCCAAUAGUGCUUGAACAACAGAAGUGUGUCUGCCCAAAACACAAAGAAGGGUUAAGUUAUGGAGAGAAUAAUCCCAAAAGACAUAAAAACUGCAGUUUCGGGUUUACCCACAAUUGAAUGCCUUGCAAUGCUUGGUUCCAAUCUCUACCGUUCAGAAUGUAGAGUUGUGUCUCAUGAACAACAUAUCCAAAAAUCAGAACGAUCGGACGGCA